rnacentral:lncRNA from 1 species
GUACAAGCCAGGACUGCUUGCUUGGAUAAGUAGACCUGUGUCAUGGAGCAAGUGUUCCACGAUAGGAAAUGCAAGACCAGCAAUGUCCAGGAAGUUCCAGGACAGCCAGUGACCUGCCACGGCAGGCAGCAGCCCCUGGGCCUGGGUCAGAAAGGCACAGCUAGCUGGUUGGAGGAGUCCCCCUCGCCCCUUCCAUCAGAGGCUGGAAAAGGAAUAUGAGAUUGUCUGCAGAGACAAAUGGAAAGCCCUUCAGACAGCGGCCUGGGACCGCGCGCGCCUUCUCCAGCCGGUUCAGCAAGAGGAAUGGUCACUGGAACGGGAGGAGCUGGCAGAAGAGGAAGGAGCACUGACUAAGACUGACUUGAGUGCCCAGAGCAUGGCUGCACCCUUGGAGCAUUUGCACACUCAGAGCACAGGAGCCAAUCAUCAUCCCAGACUCUUCCCUCAGCCAUCUGAGGGGAAAAUGGCAGGUAAAAUGGGAAUCAUGAUAUUUUCUUAAAAUGAGGAAUUAUAAACACACGUGAAUCUGUGACCAGUGAGAGUUUUGGAGGAGAGAGGGGGGCUAGGGCUCCUCCCCCAGACCACACCGCCACGCCCACAAAUGCGUUUCCAAUUACACCAUCUAUGGAGGAUACGGCAAGCCCUUGCAAACUGGUUACCUGGAAAGAAAGGAGAGAAAUUGUGUGAUGUGGUGAGGUGGGGACCUGUGUCCCCACCAAAUCUCAUGUUCAGUUGUUAUCCCCAGUGCUGGGGGUGGGGCCCGGUUGGAGGUGGUUGGAUCACUGGGGUGGAUCCUUCAUGAAUGGCUUAGCACCAUCACCUGGUGCUGUCUUGUGAUAGAGUUCUCAUGAGAUCUGGUUGAUUAAAAGUGUGUGGCGCCUCCCCCACCUCUCUCUCAUGGUCUGGCCAUGUGAGACGCGCCUGCUUCCCCUUUGUCUUCACCAUGAUUGUAAGUUUCUUGAGGCCUCCCCAGAAGCAGAUGUCCCCAUGCUUCCUGUACAGCCUGCUGAACCGUGAGCCA